UACGAAGGGUGCAAGCGUUACUCGGAAUUACUGGGCGUAAAGCGCACGUAGGCGGAUCGUUAAGUCGGGGGUGAAAUCCUGGAGCUCAACUCCAGAACUGCCUUCGAUACUGGCGAUCUAGAGUCCGGAAGAGGUGAGUGGAACUCCUAGUGUAGAGGUGGAAUUCGUAGAUAUUAGGAAGAACACCAGUGGCGAAGGCGGCUCACUGGUCCGGUACUGACGCUGAGGUGCGAAAGCGUGGGGAGCAAACAGG
rnacentral:rRNA from 1 species